AUUCAUUUCAUGCUGAACUGUGUGAGUUGCUAAAGAGUUAUGCCUCACUGGAUCCAGAAUCAAUACUUGGUCAAUUAAACAUCAUGGUAUUUGAUUAUGUAGUGAAAGUAAGCAAUCCAAAUUGUAGGCUCGAUGAGGAAUGUUCCAAAAUGAGGGAGAUGCUUAAUUCGGAGAUCGAACGUAUGAUUAAUAACAAUGAUUCAUGUGGUUUGGUUCAAGUGGCGAGUGAAACACUCACUUGGUAUUCUAUUAUUUUGAAAUCCUUAAACUAUUCUUAUAGGAUUACUUCUCAGAUGUCAAAGAGGAAUCGUCAAUUAAUGAUGGGCAAGAAAAAGGUUGUUGAUGAUUUGAUUAAAUCUAAUCGCAGUUUUCUAAAAAAGGUUGUGGAAUUUUUGAGGCAGGACAAUAAAGACAAUGAGCAGAAUCUAGAACAAGGAACUGUUUCGAAAAGACUUGAAGAUAAACAGGAUUGGGAACAUCGAGCUUCAGAGAUAAAGAAGGCCCAAUCAUCUAUUAAUGAAAAAAUAAAUAGAGAUUUUUGAAUCAAAAAUGGUAGAAUUAGCGCAAUUGGUUGAAGCAGAUAAAGUCCCCUCGAAUCCUGUCUGAGUGAAGACUUUUCAAGUUUCUUUUGAGGAGAAGAGCGACUUCUUUUGAGGAGAAGAGCGACGCAUGAAAUGCAACAUACGUCUGUUCAAUUCCUAUGGGAUAGCAUCUGAGUAUCCCAUGUUUCAGUAACUGCUAUCAUACGUUCUGACUGGCUUGUUGUAACUUGGGCUUUGUAACAAGUUAUGUAUGUGGCGCAAAUAGUUUUGUAUACAUGUCAUUACCAGUGACAUCAAUUUUGAUAUGUGAAUAGCAUGCUAAUGUAA